rnacentral:rRNA from 1 species
AUGGAUUGGUGCCUUCGGGAACUCUGAGACAGGUGCUGCAUGGCUGUCGUCAGCUCGUGUUGUGAAAUGUUGGGUUAAGUCCCGCAACGAGCGCAACCCUUAUCCUUUGUUGCCAGCGGUUAGGCCGGGAACUCAAAGGAGACUGCCAGUGAUAAACUGGAGGAAGGUGGGGAUGACGUCAAGUCAUCAUGGCCCUUACGAGUAGGGCUACACACGUGCUACAAUGGCGCAUACAAAGAGAAGCGACCUCGCGAGAGCAAGCGGACCUCAUAAAGUGCGUCGUAGUCCGGAUUGGAGUCUGCAACUCGACUCCAUGAAGUCGGAAUCGCUAGUAAUCGUGGAUCAGAAUGCCACGGUGAAUACGUUCCCGGGCCUUGUACACACCGCCCGUCACACCAUGGGAGUGGGUUGCAAAAGAAGUAGGUAGCUUAACCUUCGGGAGGGCGCUUACCACUUUGUGAUUCAUGACUGGGGUGAAGUCGUAACAAGGUAGGCGUAGUGCU